rnacentral:rRNA from 1 species
CCUACGGGUGGCAGCAGUGAGGAAUAUUGGUCAAUGGGCGCGAGCCUGAACCAGCCAAGUAGCGUGAAGGAUGACUGCCCUACGGGUUGUAAACUUCUUUUAUAAAGGAAUAAAGUGAGGCACGUGUGCCUUUUUGUAUGUACUUUAUGAAUAAGGAUCGGCUAACUCCGUUCCAGCAGCCGCGGUAAUACGGAGGGUCCGAGCGUUGUCCGGAUUUAGUGGGUUUAAAGGGAGCGUAGAUGGGGUGUUAAGUCAGUUGUGAACGUUGACGGCUCAACCUUAAAAUUGCAAUUGAUACUGGCAGCCUUGAGUAGAGUUGAGGUAUGCGGAAUGCGUGGUGUAGCGGUGAAAUGCUUAGAUAUCACGAAGAACUCCGAUUGCGAAGGCAGCUUACUAAACUGCCACUGACGUUGAUGCUCGAAAGUGUGGGUAUCAAACAGGAUUAGAUACCCUUGUAGUC